UGGUUGCGAGAUUUGAAGAUGUACCUGCGUUCCUGUUGUAGCUGCCUCUUGUUCAUGUGGCACCCAAAAUAUUGAUGAAGCUUUAUCUCUUCAGUUUUCUCAAGGAGGUAUAUUACAGUGUUCAGGUACCAUUUCUAGCUCCAACUUGCUACCUAAAGUAAAAUUCGAAAAUUUUCAAUUAUGUUGUGUGCAUACUUUACGACAGAUUAAUCUUGGGAGUUAAAAGAAAAAAUAAGUUAUGCUUUAGUAAUCCAAAUGGAAGAGUAAUGAUGCAUUAGCAAAAUAUCUGUGGAUUAUUGCUUGUUCUUCUCUUAAAUUCUCUAUUUGAUGUCUGGUAUUAGGAUAUGUUCAAGAUCCUUAGUGAUAAAUAGAAAGAUAAUUGACGAUCAAAUCACUUAGGUAAGUGAGGAAUUCUACCUUUUGGACUUCCAAGGUAUUGGAUCCCCGUAUGUAAAAUCUAGAUUGUUUAUUUCGUUACUCAUAUGUUCUUUCGUUAUCUUUUGAUACGUAAAUCUACAGAUGCUGGAGUUAAGCAAGUCAAUCCGGCAAUUAGAUUCUAUUCCUAGGGUAUGACGAAUUUGAAUCCGUCUUUAAGGCUUGUGCUGAGUUUAGUCAAGAAUUAUUCAGAGAAGAUACGUGAACCUCUUUUUUGAGUGCAAAAAGUUACUUACUGUCGUAUUUUCUCACUCCUGAAAAGGUAAGACUAAAAAUCUUGGUAUUCAGUUAUUAAUGAUGCAUAAGCUUUUCAGUUUUCGAUCUUCUUUUACGGUAAAUAGAGUCAAUUACUGGUUGUGGUUGUUUUUUUCCAUAAAACUUUUCAGAGUGAAGCUUUUCAUAUAAAAUAUGUGUCGUUACACAAGUAAUUAGGUUUAUGAUAAAUGGUUGGUUAAAAAAUGUUUGCAUUUGUUCCCUUUAUCUCCCGUGGAUGGAUCUUGUGGCUUAUGAUGAAUGGUUGUUUUGGAUUGGUUGUUCAUGUUUGAAGAAAAGUUUGACCUAUUGAAAAGUAUUAACAAAAGUUUAACUAGAAAGAGUUAUUUUUAUAGUGUUAAAUUUAAGGAUGAUUCUUACCUUUUCCAUGUUAACAUCUUUACAUGUACCAACAAUCUUUUGAAGCGUUACACUGCCUCAAACCUCAUGUUUGAAUAUUACUUUGCAUCAAUAAAGUGGUAACUUAUAUGGGAGAAACAAAAGCAUAGUUUAAUUUGAAGAAAAACACAUAAUUACAAUCAUACAGAUUCAUAUUUUCUUUCCUUAAAUGCACAGAUUUAGAGUGAUUGGAUAUGUGCAGUAUCUUGACUUCGAAAAAUUGAAAGUUAUGCUUGAUGAAAUACUUGGUUAAAUUGAGAUAUGUACCUUUUAUGUGUUAGCUAUACAGUAAGCGUUCAACUAACACCAUCAAUUAUUUUUGUAUGACUCGAUACUCUGCGUAAUAACAUAAUUAUGUUUUUUACCUUCAGAUGUUGUAAUUGGUUGCAAGUUGUGCGUCUAGACUACCUCUUUUGUGUCUAAACUUUUUGCUUCUUUUUCUGCGAGGAGUAUACAUUUCUUAUCCGAAUUUUGAAGGAAAUAGUUUGAGAAGUACCUAUAUCUCAAAGAAUGCGACCGUCUUUGCCGUCUCAGUUAUUAUGUUGAAACACCUUUUAAAAGGUCUAAUUGACACAACAAGUCGGGCAUAUAUGUGCACGGGCGCCACCUAUCUAGUCAUAUUAUAAGUUAAUACAGAGUAAAAGAACAAAGCUGUUGGAAAUCGAAGAAGAGAACUAACAACUUCAAGAAUUUGGUACUAAUUAGUAUUUUAAUGAGGUUCUUAUAUUAAUUAGUUGGUUCUAUUAAGUCAGGUAAAUGUUUGAAUCACCUACGCACGGUAAGGGCAUAUAUGAGAUGACCUAUUAACGAUAGCCAUAUCUGCCCAAUUUCGCAAAGUUGAAGGGACUAUCUGCCCCCUUUUCUGUUUAAUUUAUAAGAUAGGAUCUAAGCCAAACUCCCUGUUAUCUUAAGGUGGCUUUUUGUUAAAAAAUAUAAGUAAAAAGUCAUUUUUGCUCCAUUGUGGGUGUAAUUUCUCUCAACUAUAAUAUUUAUUCCAUCUCCCUAUUUCCUAAUAGUUAAGUUUACUGGUGAAGUAAGAUGAGAACUGAGUGUUUAUUCAAUACUGGAGAUUUAUUUUUAUCUCAAUGAUGCAUCUCUUUUUGGUAAAAAUUUAUCUGACAUUCGAUAUUUACACCAAAUCAUACUACUUUCAUUAGUUCAUAUAAUUAAGUGAUAAAUUAAGGGUAAUAUAUAUGAUUUGAUUGAUGUAAAUAAAUUUUUACCCUCUUUCUUUUUCUUCUUCAUCGUUGCCCGUCCGCGAUUCCUCUCUCUCCUUCCUCCCCUCAGAAAUAUAAGGGGGGAAAAAAGGGAUUCCGAGGAAUUGAAGAUGUUAACUUGUACUAUGUUCCUUUUUCAUGUACUUGCCUUUCUUUUCAUCAACAGCUAUAACUAUACCAAACCCCUCAGGUUUGAAGCUGGAUUCUUCUAAAAAGGUUAAACUAGAGGGGGGAAAAA